rnacentral:snRNA from 1 species
GGGUGUAAGGGCAAUCUGGCUGUGACAUCUGUCACCCCAUUGAUUGCCAAGGUUACUGACCCCUUCCUCCCUUGCCACUCCAUGUGUGUCCCUCCUGAAGUUGUGCUGGACGACUGUCUCCAAAUAGAGAUAGACCCGUCUUCGGUGAAGGUAUAUGAGUAGCUAUGUGGUCCCCCCAGCCUCCAAACAAGCUCUCAAGAAUCAUGUGAUGGAAUAGCCAUUUCUCUACUGUUUUCU